UACAGAGGGGGCAAGCGUUGUUCGGAAUUACUGGGCGUAAAGCGCGUGUAGGCGGUUGGCCGAGUCAGGUGUGAAAGCCUUGAGCUUAACUCAAGAAAUGCACUUGAUACUGGGCGACUAGAGGACCGGAGAGGAUAGUGGAAUUCCCAGUGUAGUGGUGAAAUACGUAGAGAUUGGGAAGAACACCAGUGGCGAAGGCGGCUAUCUGGACGGUUACUGACGCUAAGACGCGAAAGCGUGGGGAGCAAACAGG
rnacentral:rRNA from 1 species